GACAACACCUCCAAACCCACCCCAUCAAUAAGAACAAGUGAACAACCAACCAAAAAAACAACCCAGCUCAUGCAUUUUAUCAACAAACACCAAUUUUCAACAAUCCCAACAACAAAACCUUCAGUUUCCUUUCAAUUAAGUUUCUGGGAAAAAUUCAACAUCUAGUCUUGAUCACUUUAAUGAUUCAGUUGUUGUUGGAUCUAAUAAAAAGAAAAGAAGCUAGCUGAACAAGGAAGUCUUCUAUUGAUGGAACUCCAGUUUGGGCUAGUCUCCUACCCUAGUGGUGAAUCAUGUAGAUUCUGUUGUUGUUGGUGCUUCUGCUUCAGAAAACCCCGCCAAGAAGGCCCGCAGGAGGCCCUAGAUCUCCAAAAAGAAGCAAUAGCGACAAGCUUUUGGUGCAGUUGAAUUUGGAUCCAUGCAGUACUUAAUCCAUGUAAACAUCGGGGAGGCAUGUUGUAUCUUAUUUGAGCUUAUGAUUAUAUUAUUGGGGCCGAGGCUGUGUGCGAGGACUAGUUGGAUCUCAGGGUCAGUUUGUCAUCAUCAUGUUAUUGGGGUCAUUCAUGAUGUUAGAAAGUAAUGGGAACUGUUGCAGAACAAGUGAUCUAAGCAUGGCACUAUCCAGGCUAGAUGCUGAGCAUGACGCUGCAGCAGAAACAAUGCUUUGACAGGUUUUCUACGCUGCACUCAUUGCAAUUCCUCAGAUUGCUGAAGGUUUCUCAAAGGUACAAAUGAGUCAAGUAAAAAUAAAUUUAUCCCUAUAGUGUUUGCACCACAUGUUCUUAAAUAAGCCUUUUUAUCUAACAUGUCUUCUCACUUUCAUUUAAUCUUUAAUUUGCUCUUUAUGUUAAUUUAUUAAUUUGACAUAACACCAAGUAAGCUCUUAAAUAACUUACCUGGAAAUACAAUUGAAACACCAAUGCUGUCAAAAUUGAUUUAUAUUUUUAAAUGCUACCAAACCUAGCUCAUAUUAUAAAUGCUAUGUAAAAUUACAUCAUCCUUUAAACAAUUCCUUAACCCUAGUCGCUAACACACAACCCUUGGAAUCAGCACCCAUCUCCCUUCUUCUCCAUACUUUCCCCACUUACCCCCACCAAAAUCUACUCACUAACCACUUUUUCCUCCUCAGUCACCAUGAAACUGGUCAUAAUGCCACCAUGAGUAUUGUCUUGACCUUCUUUAGCCAUUGUUCCAUUGUGGGUCACCGUGACACCAACCAAAAGAAUUCACCAUACUAAGGUCAAAAGAUAUCCAUUGUUCUAACAUUAUUAACCUUCAUUACAUCCAUAAAAUUCCAGUAAU